rnacentral:tRNA from 1 species
UGGGGAGUAUGUCAACCGGUAGACGGCCUGACUGUUAAUCAGGAGGCUGCAGGUUCGAAUCCUGCCUCCCCAGCCA